rnacentral:lncRNA from 1 species
GGCGUGGGCGUGGGCGAGGGCAGGCGAUCUCUGAACCGAUCGGCGGGGCCGCGCUGAUAGACACGGCCGUGCUCAUAACCAUCCUUCUCAUUCCCUCGGCCUCUCCGCUCUCUUUCCUGACCCGUGGCCCGUGUCCGCCACAGCGGUCGCCGCGCAAUAGCCUAUCGGGAUCUCCUUCGACUUCCAACGCGAGGCACGCGAGCUCUCACCCCCCGGCCUCGCUCGUCCCCCUUCAGGUCCCGCGGGCCCCAUACGGCGCGGCCUCUCUAGUGUGGGCACGGGGAAUGCGACGCCCGCGAUUUGCCAGC